UACAGAGGAGCCAAGCGUUGUCCGGAUUGACUGGGCGUAAAGCGCACGCAGGCGGAUACGCGCGUGGGGUGUGAAAUCUGGCCGCUUAACGGCCAGGCGCCAUCCCAGACGGCGUGUCUGGAGCUGUGCAGAGGUCGGUGGAAUUGCCGGUGUAGUGGUGAAAUGCGUAGAGAUCGGCAGGAACACCCAGGGGGAAACCAGCCGACUGGGCACAUGCUGACGCUGAGGUGCGAGAGCGUGGGGAGCGAACCGG
rnacentral:rRNA from 1 species